UACGUAGGGGUCUAGCGUUGUCCGGAUUUAUUGGGCGUAAAGAGCGUGUAGGCGGCCAGGUAGGUCUGCUGUGAAAACUCGAGGCUCAACCUCGAGACGUCGGCGGAAACCAUCUGGCUAGAGUCCGGAAGAGGAGAGUGGAAUUCCUGGUGUAGCGGUGAAAUGCGCAGAUAUCAGGAAGAACACCCGUGGCGAAGGCAGCUCGCUGGGACGUUACUGACGCUGAGACGCGAAAGCGUGGGGAGCAAACAGG
rnacentral:rRNA from 1 species